rnacentral:rRNA from 1 species
AGUCGAGAAUUUUUGGCAAUGGGGGAAACCCUGACCAAGCGAUGCCGCGUGCGGGAUGAAGGUCUUCGGAUUGUAAACCGCUGUCAGUGGGGAGAAAAGGAUAGUGAGUUCUCUCAUUAUUUUGAUCUAUCCGCAGAGGAAGUGUGGGCUAAGCUCGUGCCAGCAGCCGCGGUAAGACGAGCCACACAAACGUUAUUCGGAAUUACUGGGCUUAAAGGGUGCGUAGGCUGCGCGGAAAGUUGGGUGUGAAAUACCUCGGCUCAACCGAGGAACUGCGCCCAAAACUACCGUGCUCGAGGAAGAUAGAGGUGAGCGGAACUUACGGUGGAGCGGUGAAAUGCGUUGAUAUCGUAAGGAACACCCGUGGCGAAAGCGGCUCACUGGGUCUUUUCUGACGCUGAUGCACGAAAGCUAGGGGAGCAAA